rnacentral:lncRNA from 1 species
UCAGUUGAACUCCUUAGCAUGCAAGGAUGACCUUGAACUUCUGGUUCUCCUACCUCUGCUAACAGAGUGCUGGGACUAUUGAUGUGCCACAAUAACUCAGCUCCCCCAGCACUGCGGAUUGAACCCAGAGCUUCCUCCUUGCUGUUCGAACACUCACUCUACCAACCGAGCUGCGUCUCCAAUCUACAGGGAACGAUUUUGAAAGCAACCUUGUGAGCAAGUUAGAGGGAAGGACCUUCAUUAAGGAGGAAUGAGAGAAAUGGGGAAGUCAGUUUGCAACCUACUGGAAAGAGAUGGUAUCAGAAGAUUGGGUCUUAUCAUGAUU